AAGUCGUAACAAGGUUUCCGUAGGUGAACCUGCGGACGGAUCAUUAACGCGUAUCCAAACGUUAAACCCCCGUGAACCUUCAGCCUGCUCUUGUAACCCGCGUAGUUCGCAAUCUCUGGUAAAUCAAGUGGGAGGAAAGUUUUGAUUCAGAGACCUCUUGGAACAGUUACAAUGGAGCGGUAGUUCUAUAGGCAUUGUUUCCCCAAGCAGUCAGUGUCUGAAAGUGUCAUUGAUUGUACAAGGAUAGCGCUUCACGAUUCCUGUAGACCGUACACUCGGGCAGGAGCUAUGCCAAAGGGUCCCCAUGCCCCCUAAUAACCCCACAGUUUAAUGUGAAGCUCAAUGUACAUUGGGUAAAAAUACUUGCACAACUGUUACCGAUGGAUAUCUUGGUUCUC
rnacentral:misc_RNA from 1 species